rnacentral:rRNA from 1 species
CCGCUUUCAGUAGGGAAGAAGCGAAAGUGACGGUACCUACAAAAGAAGCACCGGCUAACUAUGUGCCAGCAGCCGCGGUAAUACAUAGGGUGCAAGCGUUGUCCGGAAUUAUUGGGCGUAAAGAGCUCGUAGGUCGUUUGUUACGUCGGAUGUGAAAACCUGAGGCUCAACCUCAGGCCUGCAUUCGAUACGGGCAAACUAGAGUUUGGUAGGGGAGACUGGAAUUCCUGGUGUAGCGGUGGAAUGCGCAGAUAUCAGGAGGAACACCAAUGGCGAAGGCAGGUCUCUGGGCCAAUACUGACACUGAGGAGCGAAAGUCUGGGGAGCGAACAGGAUUAGAUACCCUGGUAGUCCAGACCGUAAACGGUGGGCACUAGUUGUGGGAACCUUCCACGGUUUCUGCGACGCAGCUAACGCAUUAAGUGCCCCGCCUGGGGAGUACGAUCGCAAGAUUAAAACUCAAAGGAAU